UUUCUUCUGUAAUUUGUGGAAAUUAUUGACUGGUUUUCACCUUUGUGAUGAUUUUCUCUAUCCAAAACCACACUCUGCAGCAAUGGCAAAAGACCCAGUUCGAGUUCUUGUCACUGGUGCUGCUGAAAAUCUUGGUUGUUCUGUUCACUAUUGCCUUCUUUUGGAAGCUUAUAAAAUACAUGUGGAGCUUCUUGAGCAUGGAGAAGGAGCCUGUGACUGUAUUGGUUACUGGUGCUGCAGGCAUGCUCAAAUCAAUCCUUUUAUUUCUUCCCCAUCCCCACCUGUUUUAAAAUAAAAAUAAAUAAAAAAUUACAACUUCAUUUUCUUAUAAUGGUUCGAUUCAAAAUUCAGAUGCCAUGUAUUGUCACUGCCACAAAACCAUCUUGGAAUAUUUCCUGAAUUUUUAAGCUCAUGAUAUCCAAUUUUAUGAUUUGAAAUAUUGGGCUAAGUAUCUAAGUAUUUGUCUGUCAACAUAAACUUGGAUCCGUUUCUGCAAGAAAAGCUAAAGAGAAUUGUCCCUCCCUCCCUCCCUCCCUCCACUUGAGCUCCCAAUUACAAUUAAAGUUAGUGCUGUGGACGACAAUCCUCGUAACUUCACUCACUCUCACAUAUAUUGUUCUCUAAAAUUAUUGGCUUCAUUUCUCAUCCUGUCACUGCCAGGAAUAUUUUUUUAUGCCUGUUUGUACCCUCCUUUUUCAGUUUUAACUCUAUUGUUUAUUUCAUUCUUGUCUCUAUAUCUUCCAAGUUCCACACACAAACAAAAUUGGCAUAGAGAGAAAAUUUCGAAUCUUCUACUUUUUCUUUUAAUUAAUGGGUGGUUUUGUAAAUCUGUCAAUAUUUAGCCAAAUCCAUCAAUAAUUAAUUCUGACUAGCUGUCACAUAAACUUUACACUUAUAAUUUAGUCCUAAAAAGUUUGCAACCACAUCUUUUAACACCUUUUAGACUUUUAAUACUGCAGCUGCAAGAGAGUUCAUUGGUUACUUACUUUACUUAUGGGACUUUGUUGUUGCAGAUAGGGAAGAACUAAAAAAUUCUAGCUUACUAUGCAUCAGAGAAUUAAGAUUUUAAUUACUAUAAUCUUUUGAGACUGCAUAGAGUUGAAGUUGAUGGGUGGCUUUUGCUGGUUUAAUGAUAUAUUGAUUUUGAAAUGAAACAGACUAAACUCAUGUAAGCAUAAAUCAUGUGACUUGUAGAAUGCUUGAGAUGAGAGUACAU